rnacentral:tRNA from 1 species
GAGCCGGACAUAAAGAGCUGCUAACUCCUUCCCCC